UGGGGAAUUUUGGACAAUGGGGGAAACCCUGAUCCAGCCAUCCCGCGUGUGCGAUGAAGGCCUUCGGGUUGUAAAGCACUUUUGGCAGGAAAGAAACGUCAUGGGUUAAUACCCCGUGAAACUGACGGUACCUGCAGAAUAAGCACCGGCUAACUACGUGCCAGCAGCCGCGGUAAUACGUAGGGUGCAAGCGUUAAUCGGAAUUACUGGGCGUAAAGCGUGCGCAGGCGGUUCGGAAAGAAAGAUGUGAAAUCCCAGAGCUCAACUUUGGAACUGCAUUUUUAACAACCGGGCUAGGGUGUGUCAGAGGGAGGUGGAAUUCCGCGUGUAGCAGUGAAAUGCGUAGAUAUGCGGAGGAACACCGAUGGCGAAGGCAGCCUCCUGGGAUAUCACUGACGCUCAUGCACGAAAGCGUGGGGAGCAAACAGG
rnacentral:rRNA from 1 species